UACGUAGGGUGCGAGCGUUGUCUGGAAUUACUGGGCGUAAAGAGCUCGUGGGUGGUUUGUCGCGUUGUUCGUGAAAACUCACAACUCAAUUGUGGGCGUGCGGGCGAUACGGGCAGACUGGAGUACUGCAGGGGAGACUGGAAUUCCUGGUGUAGCGGUGGAAUGCGCAGAUAUCAGGAGGAACACCGGUGGCGAAGGCGGGUCUCUGGGCAGUAACUGACGCUGAGGAGCGAAAGCGUGGGGAGCGAACAGG
rnacentral:rRNA from 1 species